UACAGAGGUGGCAAGCGUUGUUCGGAAUUACUGGGCGUAAAGGGCGCGUAGGCGGCCUUCUAAGUCAGACGUGAAAUCCCCCGGCUUAACCUGGGAACUGCGUCUGAUACUGGGAGGCUUGAGUAUGGGAGAGGGAUGUAGAAUUCCAGGCGUAGCGGUGAAAUGCGUAGAUAUCUGGAGGAAUACCGGUGGCGAAGGCGGCAUCCUGGACCAUAACUGACGCUGAGGCGCGAAAGCUAGGGGAGCAAACGGG
rnacentral:rRNA from 1 species